rnacentral:rRNA from 1 species
UACGUAGGUGGCAAGCGUUGUCCGGAUUUACUGGGCGUAAAGCGCCCGCAGGCGGCUUGGCAAGUUUGGGGUGAAAUCUCCCGGCUCAACUGGGAGGGUGCCUCGAAAACUGCCAGGCUUGAGGCAUGGAGAGGGAUGCGGAAUUCCCGGUGUAGUGGUGAAAUGCGUAGAUAUCGGGAGGAACACCAGUGGCGAAGGCGGCAGCCUGGCCAUGUCCUGACGCUCAGGGGCGAAAGCGUGGGGAGCAAACCGG